CGCUAUGAGGAUUAUUUUGGGGGGAAAUACAGUGAAAAUUAUUUACAGCUAUUUGAUGUAAACCAAGUCUUAUGGAGUUAAGCAAAGUGUGCGCGUUAUGUGGACUUUAAAGACAUGAACACAAGAACCCCUAAUGUUAAUAUCGAAAAUUUGAAAGCUGUUGAAAACAACUGACAUUAUGCUUAACAAUUAAACAACAAGGAAAGCAACAAUACCAACAAGUCAUUGGGAGGGUGGCAAGCUGCCUUCUUAUAUUUAAACUGUCCUAGUAUGAGCAUUGAGAAACAGCCUGAUAAAAAUAAAAACUAGCUCAAAAGCAGAAGGACAAUGGACAUUGGAGACUAAAAAGUAGAAUGUCAGUCAUACCAUUUACAUGAACCCUACCAAAAUCAAAGUUUUAAAAGAAUAUGUGAGAGAAGUAUUUUUAGUGAUGCAGUUACCGAAAAGAUUCGAGGAAGAUCUGAGCUGCUCUAGAAACUUUUCAAGGAACUACCUGUACAAAAGAGUGAACACGUGGACUGUAAAUCAAAAAGUUCAACUUAUUAUAUUAAGUGGAAGGCAAACAUUAGGAAAAUAUAAAGAUAUUCUGGAUGUGAUGUCUGUAUUAUGAUGUGUUUAAAAAAGGAAAUAUACAGGAAUUAUAGAUGGUUUUAUGUUUUAAGUCUGACCACUGAUUUAUAAAAGAAAUGAAGGCAAUGAUUUCACCCCAUCCGGUGCUAAUUUAAAAGGAUUUAGGCACCGGAUUCAAGAGCAUAAAUCAAAAGAAGUUUUUCUGUCCAUUGUAAAAAGUGUUCAUCUUUACCCUAAGGCGGACGCAACCUUGUGUUAAGGCGGAUUCCACCUUAUACUAAUGCAGAUUCCACCUUAUAUUUAGGUGGAUUCCACCUUAUUUUAGGGCGGAAUCUCGCGUAAUCCACCUUAUAUUAAGACGGAUUCCAAUUAAUCAUAAGGUGGAUUCCACCUAAGAUUAAGGCGGAUUCCCGUUUGUUUUAAGGCGAAUUUUUCUUACCCGGAAUACGCUUAA